CUAGAGUCUAGUGUGAGUGGGUAGAGUCUAGUGUGAGUGGGUAGAGUCUAGUGUGAGUGUGUAGAGUCUAGUGUGAGUGGGUAGAGUCUAGUGUGAGUGGGUAGAGUCUAGUGUGAGUGGUUAGAGUCUAGUGUGAGUGGGUAGAGUCUAGUGUGAGUGGGUAGAUUCUAGUGUGAGUGGGUAGAGUCUAGUGUGAGUGGGUAGAGUCUAGUGUGAGUGGGUAGAGUCUAGUGUGUGUGGGUAGAGUCUAGUGUGUGUGGGUAGAGUCUAGUGUGAGUGGGUAGAGUCUAGUGUGUGUGUGUGGGUAAAGGUGUGUGUGUGUGUGAGAGAGAGAGAGUGGGUAGAGUCCAGUGUGUGUGUGUGAGUGGCUAGAGUCUAUUGUGUGUGUGUGUGUGUGUGUGUGUGUGUGUGUGUGUGUGUGUGUGUGUGUGUGUGUGUGUGUGUGUGUGUGUGUGUGUGUGUGUGUGUGUGUGUGUGUGUGUGUGUGUGUGUGUGUGUGUGUGUGUGAGAGUGGCUAGAGUCCAGUGUAUGUGUUCUAGUGUGAGUGGGUAGAGUCUAGUGUGAGUGUGUAGAGUCUAGUGUGAGUGUGUAGAGUCUAGUGUGAGUGGGUAGAUUCUAGUGUGAGUGGGUAGAUUCUAGUGUGAGUGG
rnacentral:lncRNA from 1 species